rnacentral:rRNA from 1 species
AUGGGGCGGAGGAUCCUCAACGACGCGCUGCGCACGAUGGUGAACGCGGAGCGGCGGGGGAAGGCGACGGCGCAACUCCAGCCCAUCUCCGGCGUCAUGAUCUCCUUCCUCAACAUCAUGAAGCACCGAGGUUACAUAAAAAAUUUCGAGGUCUUUGAUCCACAUAGGGUUGGAAAAAUCACCGUGGAACUUCAGGGAAGGAUUAAAGAUUGCAAAGCUCUCACUUACAGGCAGGACCUCAGAGCUACGGAAAUAGAAAAAUACAGAACUAGGAUGCUUCCAACACGGCAGUGGGGCUAUGUUGUGGUGACCACCCCAAAUGGCGUUUUAGAUCACGAGGAAGCAAUUAGGCAGAAUGUGGGUGGCCAGGUCCUCGGUUACUUCCAUUGA